rnacentral:rRNA from 1 species
CCGGCGCACGGGUGAGUAACGCGUAUCCAACCUGCCUUACACUCUUGGACAGCCUUCUGAAGGAGAUAAUACAAGAUGUUAUCAUGAGUAAGCAUUUUCACAUGAUUAAAGGUUUACCGGUGUAAGAUGGGGAUGCGUUCCAUUAGAUAGUAGGCGGGGUAACGGCCCACCUAGUCUUCGAUGGAUAGGGGUUCUGAGAGGAAGGUCCCCCACAUUGGAACUGAGACACGGUCCAA